rnacentral:sRNA from 1 species
AGUAAAACCUGGUGAACAAAAACCAUUGCUUUAUCCAUGCUCGAAUAUACAUCGUGAUACACUCACAGAGGCCUUUACUACUCAUGGCAUUGCAUUUACAGAAGUAAUUUCCUAUGAGACAUGUCCUAAUAAAGAUUUAAAAAACUCUCUUUUAGCAGCUCUUCAUGAUAUGGGUUUACCUGACUAUACUGUGUUUUUUAGUCCAUCAGGAUUCCAAUAUGUUCACACAUUGUUGGACAGCAAUGAGUUUCCCUUGAAUGAUACUAAGAUAAUAGCAUUAGGACCUGCAACUUACAAAGCUAUCUGUGAUUUGGAAUUCACUCCCUUUGGAAUGGCAGAGAAACCAGAUCCUGAGAGCUUGUUGAAACUUCUGUUGUAAAACUUCUGCUAAAUAUUUUAUUGUUGAUGAAAAUAUUAUUGGCUAAAUUAGCCUAAAUUUUAAAAUGUAUUAAUGAGCAACAAGGAAACAAACUAGAAAUUUAAAAAAAAAAUUGAUAGACCACAAAAAUAAUUUGGUAGUAAGAAGGGGGCUAAUGUUAAAAAAUAUAGUCAUAUUUUGACAAAAUAAUUCUACUUUAAUAACUAUAAGUAACAUUAGUUAUAGAUCAAUCUCUUUUCAAAUUUUGUUUACUGUUUUCUUGAAUUAUCUUUAUUUUUUUUUCUUUGAAUAUUAUUGUAUGUCUUCCAUAAUUAAAUUGAUGCAUGUGUUCUAUUAAUCAGCAUUUCUUAUCAAACCUUUUACAAAAUGGCGAGGUAAUGAAGUAUGGAUAACGAUUCCCUAUUGCUAAAAAAUUCACAUUUUUACUUGCAAUGUGAUAAAUUUCAAUUGACCUCAACAUACGUAUCAAACACCAACUGGACAUUGAAGCGAAUAGACUGCAUCUUCUGCAUACACUUCACUGCCUCUAUGGAAAAUUUUUAAAUUUUAAUGCCAUACCUGUCAUUGGGUAAGUGGCAAGAAGGAAUACUAGCUCAAAAAUGAUCCCUCUUUACAAGGGAAAGAAAAAUUAACUCAAAAACUGUUUAUGAAGACUUAUAUAUUAGCAAUCCUCUAAAAUGAAAAGGUCUCAAAACUUUCAGUUCAUGUUGUCAAGUAAAAAAAAAUGUCUUUAAUACUAUUGCUUUUUCUGGUGUGGUAGCUGUUUUAAUUGUAUCAGGUUUAGUAUUCUCAACAACCUCCUCUUAUUUGCCACGUUUGGAACUGUAAGCCAAUCAGGGUUUUGGAAUAUCACUUAAAUACUCAAGUGAACUUACUAAGUUAUAAAGUUACAUGCAUGUUGUGAUACAACCAGUUUCUUCCUAUUUGAUUUCAUCUUACCCCCACCCCUCCUUAUAUGCCUUCAAUGGGCAUAACAUAAUAUUUACUACUUUUAACCAGUUUCAAUGAAAAACUUGCUACUACCUUACCAGAAAUGGAUAAAACCUCUCAUUUUUAGAGUUAAGUGUGUGGUAGAGCAUGUCCAUUCAAAAUGCACAAAGUAACAUUAUUGAUUUGAACAUUUUUAUUUCAGUGUUAAUACAAUCUACUGUUACAGACACUCUCAUGAAAAAUAUAAGAAUUUUGUUUAGUAUUGAAGAGAUUGUGGCUAAAGUUAUUUUAAAAAAAAUCUUUACAUACAUUUUUGGUUGUCAAUAAUUUUACUACUUUGGUGCUCUAAUACUUAUGAACUAUGCAUGUUGAACAUUGUUGUUUUGAAAGUCCAAGCACUUGUUUUUUUGUUUGGCAAAAGUUUAUGAAUGGUAUUAUGUACAUAUACUAUUUAAAUAUAUUUGUGAAAAUCAAAUAAAAAUUUUAA